CAUUCUUCAAAACAGCAUUUUUCACUGGCAAUGUAAUUUUAGUUUGGAGUGCAGCAAUAAUUGAAUUCCUGGGACUGAUUGGAUACAGGGUCAGCAGCAAGAAGAAAAUCGAGCUCUUGCAUAACAAUACUGGGGCAGUUUUUGGUCUGUUUUGAUUUUGCUGUGAGGGUAUUGUGAACUGUAAGUUGUAUGGAACUCCAUGUUAUGUGUUGAACAGCACAUUAAACUUAAUUCCCUGAA